GAAACCCGGUGAUCUAGCCAUGGGCAGGUUGAAGGUUGGGUAACACUAACUGGAGGACCGAACCGACUAAUGUUGAAAAAUUAGCGGAUGACUUGUGGCUGGGGGUGAAAGGCCAAUCAAACCGGGAGAUAGCUGGUUCUCCCCGAAAGCUAUUUAGGUAGCGCCUCGUGAAUUCAUCUCCGGGGGUAGAGCACUGUUUCGGCAAGGGGGUCAUCCCGACUUACCAACCCGAUGCAAACUGCGAAUACCGGAGAAUGUUAUCACGGGAGACACACGGCGGGUGCUAACGUCCGUCGUGAAGAGGGAAACAACCCAGACCGCCAGCUAAGGUCCCAAAGUCAUGGUUAAGUGGGAAACGAUGUGGGAAGGCCCAGACAGCCAGGAUGUUGGCUUAGAAGCAGCCAUCAUUUAAAGAAAGCGUAAUAGCUCACUGGUCGAGUCGGCCUGCGCGGAAGAUGUAACGGGGCUAAACCAUGCACCGAAGCUGCGGCAGCGACACUAUGUGUUGUUGGGUAGGGGAGCGUUCUGUAAGCCUGUGAAGGUGGCCUGUGAGGGUUGCUGGAGGUAUCAGAAGUGCGAAUGCUGACAUAAGUAACGAUAAAGCGGGUGAAAAGCCCGCUCGCCGGAAGACCAAGGGUUCCUGUCCAACGUUAAUCGGGGCAGGGUGAGUCGACCCCUAAGGCGAGGCCGAAAGGCGUAGUCGAUGGGAAACAGGUUAAUAUUCCUGUACUUGGUGUUACUGCGAAGGGGGGACGGAGAAGGCUAUGUUGGCCGGGCGACGGUUGUCCCGGUUUAAGCGUGUAGGCUGGUUUUCCAGGCAAAUCCGGAAAACCAAGGCUGAGGCGUGAUGACGAGGCACUACGGUGCUGAAGCGACAAAUGCCCUGCUUCCAGGAAAAGCCUCUAAGCAUCAGGUAACAUCAAAUCGUACCCCAAACCGACACAGGUGGUCAGGUAGAGAAUACCAAGGCGCUUGAGAGAACUCGGGUGAAGGAACUAGGCAAAAUGGUGCCGUAACUUCGGGAGAAGGCACGCUGAUAUGUAGGUGAAGCGACUUGCUCGUGGAGCUGAAAUCAGUCGAAGAUACCAGCUGGCUGCAACUGUUUAUUAAAAACACAGCACUGUGCAAACACGAAAGUGGACGUAUACGGUGUGACGCCUG
rnacentral:rRNA from 1 species